UACGGAGGGCGCAAGCGUUGUUCGGCAUCACUGGGCGUAAAGCGCGUGUCGGCGGCUUAGCAAGUCGGAUGUGAAAUCCCGAGGCUCAACCUCGGAACUGCACUCGAAACUGCUUGGCUUGAGUCCCGGAGAGGGUGGCGGAAUUCCCGGUGUAGGGGUGAAAUCCGUAGAUAUCGGGAGGAAUUCCGGUGGCGAAGGCGGCUAUCUGGCCGAAUAUUGACGCUGAGAUACGAAAGCGUGGGGAUCAAACAGG
rnacentral:rRNA from 1 species